rnacentral:tRNA from 2 species
AAUAAAAUGCCUGAAAAAGGGUUACUUUGAUAGAGUAAAUCAUGUAUUCUAUAUACUUUUAUUA